AGAGUUGAUCAUGGCUCAGGAUGAACGCUAGCUACAGGCUUAACACAUGCAAGUCGAGGGGCAGCAUAACGAAAGCUUGCUUUGUUGAUGGCGACCGGCGCACGGGUGAGUAACGCGUAUCCAACCUUCCCUAUACUAGAGGAUAGCCCGGCGAAAGUCGGAUUAAUACUCUAUGUUCUUCGUAGAAGACAUCUGAAAUGAAGCAAAGGUUUACCGGUAUAGGAUGGGGGAUGCGUCUGAUUAGGUUGUUGGCGGGGUAACGGCCCACCAAGCCCACGAUCAGUAGGGGUUCUGAGAGGAAGGUCCCCCACAUUGGAACUGAGACACGGUCCAAACUCCUACGGGAGGCAGCAGUGAGGAAUAUUGGUCAAUGGACGAGAGUCUGAACCAGCCAAGUAGCGUGCAGGAUGACGGCCCUAUGGGUCGUAAACUGCUUUUAUACAGGGAUAAAGUGACGUACGUGUACGUUUUUGUAGGUACUGUAUGAAUAAGGACCGGCUAAUUCCGUGCCAGCAGCGGC
rnacentral:rRNA from 1 species